rnacentral:rRNA from 1 species
CAAUAGCGUAUAUUAAAGUUGUUGCAGUUAAAAAGCUCGUAGUUGGAUUUCUGGUGGGAGCGAUCGGUCUGGCGCUUAGCGCGAGUACUUGCAUCGUCUCCGGCCAUCCUUGGGGAGAGUCUGUCUGGCAUUAAGUUGUCGGGCAGAGGAUCCUCAUCGUUUACUGUGAAAAAAUUAGAGUGUUCAAAGCAGGCUUAUGCCGUUGAAUAUAUUAGUAUAGAAUAAUAAGAUAGGACUUUGGUACUAUUUUGUUGGUUUGCGCACCAAAGUAAUGAUUAAUAGGGACAGUUGGGGGUAUUCGUAUUCCGUUGUCAGAGGUGAAAUUCUUGGAUUUACGGAAGACGAACUACUGCGAAAGCAUUUACCAAGGAUGUUUUCAUUAA